GUCCACUAGGAUUUCAGCAGAUACUCUAUAAGGGCAUGGCUGGGUUUGUUAAAGUCCGGAGAAAGAACUUUCAAGAACCAGCGAAGAAAAUAUGUCAAAACUCCAAAUUCUAAAGAGCUAGCCCAUCUGGGCAGAGCAACAAGAUUCCAAUCAAGAAUGAUGCAGAGAAGCCAUGUAAUGAAAGCCAAGACCAAACUGGGACUCCACGAUGCAACUGUCAAAAGCCCCAGGAGCCAAGGGCAACUUUCAGACUUGAGAACCUCUGCAAUGAGUCAGAUCUGCUACACUCUAGUAUUGGGCAACCAUCAUGGUGCGAUGAUCUGCUAAGCCUGAAAAUGAAGAUUUAUGCUGGAAAGCCUGGCAGACCCUAAAAUGCAGCACUGCAAGU